UGCCAGCCGCCGCGGUAAUACGAAGGGUGCAAGCGUUAUUCGGAUUUACUGGGCGUAAAGCGCGCGCAGGCGGAUGUGCAAGUCAGAUGUGAAAUCUCGGGGCUCAACCCCGAAACUGCGUCUGAAACUGCUCAUCUAGAGUAUCGAAGGGGGAAGUGGAAUUUCGCAUGUAGGGGUAAAAUCCGUAGAGAUGCGAAGGAACACCAGAGGCGAAGGCGGCUUUCUGGACCGAUACUGACGCUGAGACGCGAAAGCGUGGGGAGCAAACAGGAUUAGAUA
rnacentral:rRNA from 1 species